AGGGACAAAUUAAUUGAAUUGCAUUGUGUUAAUUUGUUUAUUUUUAGUGCAAGAGGUGGCCAUAAGAACUGUUUACGUGUAAAACAUUUAUUUGCCAUUUAAGGCAGAAUGUCUUUCACAAUAGCCAACAUUUUGAACACCAUAGGCUACCUAUAAUAGUAUUGUAGAAAAUUCCCCCAUCAUGUUCAGGGAGAACAACCGUGAUACAUCUUAGGAGGAAGGGAGACCCUAGCCUAAUAUGUCAAGAUCUUCAAAUUAUAAACCUGUGAAUUAAUAGGGAUAUUCAUUGACCUUUACAGGCAUAUAGGCCUAAAAAAAAGAGCAUGAUUAAUAACACAAGGGCUAUUAUUUGUAUUGCUGAAAGUCACACCCUUACAUUUUGUCAAAGAAGAGGUCUUAGGAUAAAGUGUAGGUUUCCAUUGGAGGAUAAGACAUGUGGUUUUGGGGAUGCGCCUUUUUGACCUGACGUCACACGGUGGGGGUAUAAAAUCCCAUAGAUUUGUCCUCCAGUCAUUCACCGUGAAAAAGCCAUCGACAGGACAGUCACACUAAGCGGCUGAGAAAGAAACCGACAACAAAAUGGUUAAAAUGGUGAUGGCUUACAUUGGAUUCUUUCUCCUUGCCUUGCCUUGUUCAUCACAGGUCCACGCGCAAAACAGUACCACAAAAUCCCCAACCAUCACUGCUAUGACCGAAGCUGGCGACGCGAGUUCCAACAUGACCAAGAUGCCCGAUCUUGUCGCUACCAAGAACAUCACCAUACCCAAAGGAGCCAGUGUGUCCUUGCUGUCCAGUUCGGUCACGCUCUUUCCCAUAGUGUUGGCUGGCGCUCUCCUACACGGCCGCUUCUAGAAGGCUCCUUCCUGUACACUGUAAAGACUAACAUCCGCGGCCUAGAUGGGGAAAACUGUUUUAGAAAGAGCACACUUUUAUAACUUAAAGGCAGUAAUGUGUACACCUAUCCAUAGAUUCAGUGUAAUUGGGGUGCUGCAAGAACAUAUUUCUAAAUUGCUGAUGGGAUUUCUUACUUGGGCUCCCACCUCACUGGCCACUUCAAACCAGUAGGCCUAUACACCUUGUGGACCCCCUCCAUGGUGGCAGGCCAUGAUGAGGAUGUGUGAAACUGGACUCUGACUCGUUUGUUACCACUGUUCCUGUGUAGAUGGCAGGGUCGUUUUUUUUUUAACUUAUGAAGUGUAAAUUUGCACAGUGAUUGGGUAGUCUACUAAUAUAAAUAAGUUGGUUGAGGUGCAUUGUGGAACAUAAUGUUGUCUGAUCUUUGGCAUGCAUGGCUUUAGCGGUAGUGUUUCUAAUCCUGCAAUGGACACUAAAGCGUAUGUGACUAUUUUAAAGAAUAUCAUUUUUGUUUAAAUUGUCAUGUUAACUAAUUCUUUGAAAUGUACUUGUGUCAAAAUGUAUUUGUUCUUGUAGGCUACAAUAAAAUUAAAUGGGCCUAACUGAUUUGUGUCUUAGUAAAAAGCUUGACGUGCCAACUAAA